UUUCUUUGGGAAGGUUUCUGAGGGAAUGGGUUUCUGCCAGGACCCCGUCCUAUGUCCAUUGUCUUUCUAGCAGCAGUGCUGGCAGGGGCAGGUAUUUGCACUACAGAACUUCUCAGUGAGAGACUUCAUGCAAAGUCAGACGGAGGAGCAGCAGCUCUGCGGAACCCCAGAAAACCUUGCGGACCCUCAGGCCCCAUCCCGGACCCACUGCAUCUGAAGGAGCAUUUUCACAACAUCCCCAGGGUUUAGUGGCUGCCUCUCACACUCUGAGGAUGGAGAAGGUGAAAGCCUUUAGAUCCAGCACCUAGCACAGUGACUGGCACACAGUCAUGGGAUGUUUUGGUGAAAAGUUGUGAAGAGUUACACUGGAGGACUAUAAGAUCCAAUUUUUCUCUUAUCCUCUUUCAACAAAGAAAUCUGCAGAUCCACAGAAUAUUCAUGAAAAUGAUUUUUUUUUUGCUUAACAUCUGCUCCCAUAGCUCUGUCAGCGAGGAAUUCAUCAUUCCCAAAGCAUUCCAUAUGCUUUUCCACUCUGCAUUUACCCAUGCAAUUUCCCCUGGCACAAAUCCUCUUCAUUUUUUGGCCUCUAGCAACUAAAGAACAGGAUGUUUCGAUCCUCCUCUUGUUUUGAGCCUGAGGACACUGUGACUCCAUGUUUCUGAGUAAAAACAUUCUAAUCAGAAUCAUGCCAGCAUUGAUGAAAUUUUAUGAAGAACAUAUUUUUCUGAGCAAAUUGAAAUCAAUUUAAUCCCUUGAUAUCAAUUUUCUACAUAAUUCAGGUAAAAUAUUUCUAGCAUUUUUUAUUUGCUUUUACUUUCAUCUGGAAAAUGUUUAUUCAUGAAAAAAUGUCACCAUGAAGAUUUAUUUUAAAAUUUAUCCAAAUAAAAUUUUAAAAAUUUUAA